rnacentral:rRNA from 1 species
UACGGAGGGAGCUAGCGUUGUUCGGAAUUACUGGGCGUAAAGCGCACGUAGGCGGCUUUGUAAGUUAGAGGUGAAAGCCCGGGGCUCAACUCCGGAACUGCCUUUAAGACUGCAUCGCUUGAAUCCAGGAGAGGUGAGUGGAAUUCCGAGUGUAGAGGUGAAAUUCGUAGAUAUUCGGAAGAACACCAGUGGCGAAGGGACG